UACGUAGGGUGCGAGCGUUGUCCGGAAUUAUUGGGCGUAAAGGGCUCGUAGGCGGUUUGUCGCGUCGGGAGUGAAAACACCGGGCUUAACUCGGUGCUUGCUUCCGAUACGGGCAGACUAGAGGCAUGCAGGGGAGAUCGGAAUUCCUGGUGUAGCGGUGAAAUGCGCAGAUAUCAGGAAGAACACCAAUGGCGAAGGCAGCUCUCUGGGACGGUACUGACGCUGAGACGCGAAAGCGUGGGGAGCGAACAGG
rnacentral:rRNA from 1 species